rnacentral:tRNA from 1 species
UCCCGGGUAGUUCAGUGGCAGAACGCUUGGCUUCAGACCGAGAGGGCGCAGGUUCAAUUCCUGCCCCGGGAC